rnacentral:rRNA from 1 species
GGGAAACUGGGUCUAAUACCGGAUACGACCAUCUGGCGCAUGUCAUGGUGGUGGAAAGCUUUUGUGGUUUUGGAUGGACUCGCGGCCUAUCAGCUUGUUGGUGGGGUAAUGGCCUACCAAGGCGACGACGGGUAGCCGGCCUGAGAGGGUGACCGGCCACACUGGGACUGAGACACGGCCCAGACUCCUACGGGAGGCAGCAGUGGGGAAUAUUGCACAAUGGGCGCAAGCCUGAUGCAGCGACGCCGCGUGAGGGAUGACGGCCUUCGGGUUGUAAACCUCUUUCAGUAGGGAAGAAGCGAAAGUGACGGUACCUGCAGAAGAAGCGCCGGCUAACUACGUGCCAGCAGCCGCGGUAAUACGUAGGGCGCAAGCGUUAUCCGGAAUUAUUGGGCGUAAAGAGCUCGUAGGCGGUUUGUCGCGUCUGCUGUGAAAGACCGGGGCUCAACUCCGGUUCUGCAGUGGGUACGGGCAGACUAGAGUGCAGUAGGGGAGACUGGAAUUCCUGGUGUAGCGGUGAAAUGCGCAGAUAUCAGGAGGAACACCGA